GAACGCUAGCUACAGGCUUAACACAUGCAAGUUCGAGGGGCAGCAUUUUAGUUUGCUUGCAAACUGAAGAUGGCGACCGGCGCACGGGUGAGUAACACGUAUCCAACCUGCCGAUAACUCCGGAAUAGCCUUUCGAAAGAAAGAUUAAUACCGGAUAGCAUACGAAUAUCGCAUGAUAUUUUUAUUAAAGAAUUUCGGUUAUCGAUGGGGAUGCGUUCCAUUAGUUUGUUGGCGGGGUAACGGCCCACCAAGACUACGAUGGAUAGGGGUUCUGAGAGGAAGGUCCCCCACAUUGGAACUGAGACACGGUCCAAACUCCUACGGGAGGCAGCAGUGAGGAAUAUUGGUCAAUGGGCGAGAGCCUGAACCAGCCAAGUAGCGUGAAGGAUGAAGGCUCUAUGGGUCGUAAACUUCUUUUAUAUGGGAAUAAAGUUUUCCACGUGUGGAAUGUUGUAUGUACCAUAUGAAUAAGGAUCGGCUAACUCCGUGCCAGCAGCCGCGGUAAUACGGAGGAUCCGAGCGUUAUCCGGAUUUAUUGGGUUUAAAGGGAGCGUAGGUGGAUUGUUAAGUCAGUUGUGAAAGUUUGCGGCUCAACCGUAAAAUUGCAGUUGAAACUGGCAGUCUUGAGUACAGUAGAGGUGGGCGGAAUUCGUGGUGUAGCGGUGAAAUGCUUAGAUAUCACGAAGAACUCCGAUUGCGAAGGC
rnacentral:rRNA from 1 species